AGAAUCAACGCUGGCGGCGUGCCUAACACAUGCAAGUCGAACGAGAAAGUGGAGCAAUCCAUGAGUACAGUGGCGCACGGGUGAGUAACACGUGACUAACCUACCCUCGAGUGGGGAAUAACCUCGGGAAACCGGGGCUAAUACCGCAUAACAUCCACGGAUCAAAUGCGUAAGCAGCUUGAGGAGGGGGUCGCGGCUGAUUAGCUAGUUGGCGGGGUAAUGGCCCACCAAGACGAUGAUCGGUA
rnacentral:rRNA from 1 species